AGUGAACGCUGGCUGUAGGCCUAACACAUGCAAGUCGAACGGCAGCACAGUAAGAGCUUGCUCUUACGGGUGGCGAGUGGCGGACGGGUGAGGAAUACAUCGGAAUCUACUUUUUCGUGGGGGAUAACGUAGGGAAACUUACGCUAAUACCGCAUACGACCUACGGGUGAAAGCAGGGGAUCUUCGGACCUUGCGCGAUUGAAUGAGCCGAUGUCGGAUUAGCUAGUUGGCGGGGUAAAGGCCCACCAAGGCGACGAUCCGUAGCCGGUCUGAGAGGAUGAUCAGCCACACUGGAACUGAGACACGGUCCAGACUCCUACGGGAGGCAGCAGUGGGGAAUAUUGGACAAUGGGCGCAAGCCUGAUCCAGACAUACCGCGUGGGUGAAGAAGGCCUGCGGGUUGUAAAGCCCUUUUGUUGGGAAAGAAAAGCAGCAGGUUAAUACCCCGCUGUUCUGACGGUACCCAAAGAAUAAGCACCGGCUAACUUCGUG
rnacentral:rRNA from 1 species